rnacentral:rRNA from 1 species
GGAAUACUGGUCAAUGGGCGCAAGCCUGAACCAGCCAUCCUGCGUGCAGGAAGACGGCCCUACGGGUUGUAAACUGCUUUUGUCAGGGAAGAAACCUCUGGAUUUAUCCGGAGCUGACGGUACCUGAAGAAUAAGCACCGGCUAACUCCGUGCCCGCAGCCGCGGUAAUACGGAGGGUGCAAGCGUUAUCCGGAAUUACUGGGUUUAAAGGGUGCGUAGGCGGCCCUGUAAGUCAGGAGUGAAAGUUUGCGGCUUAACCGUAAAAUUGCUUUUGAUACUGCAGGGCUAGAAUCAGGAUGAGGUCAGCGGAAUGUGGCAUGUAGCGGUGAAAUGCAUAGAUAUGCCAUAGAACACCAAUUGCGAAGGCAGCUGGCUAGACCUGUAUUGACGCUGAGGCACGAAAGCGUGGGGAGCGAAC